GUAGGUGAACCUGCGGAAGGAUCAUUAACACGUAUCCAAACGUUAAAACCCCCCCCGUGAACUUUCAAUCCUGCUCUUGUAACCCGCGUAGUUCGCAAUCUUUGGUAAAUCAAAGUGGGAGGAAAGUAUUCCUGUAGACCGUACACUCGGGCAGGAGCUAUGUCAAAGGGUCCCCAUGCCCCCUAAUAACCCCACAGUUUAAUGUAAAGCUCAAUGUAAUACAUUGGGUAAAAAAAACCGGACAACUGGAUAUCUUGGUUCUC
rnacentral:misc_RNA from 1 species